UACGAAGGGGGCUAGCGUUGUUCGGAAUUACUGGGCGUAAAGCGCACGUAGGCGGACAUUUAAGUCAGGGGUGAAAUCCCGGGGCUCAACCCCGGAACUGCCUUUGAUACUGGGUGUCUUGAGGUCGAGAGAGGUGAGUGGAAUUCCGAGUGUAGAGGUGAAAUUCGUAGAUAUUCGGAGGAAAACCAGUGGCGAAGGCGGCUCACUGGCUCGAACCUGACGCUGAGGUGCGAAAGCGUGGGGAGCAAAAAGG
rnacentral:rRNA from 1 species